rnacentral:rRNA from 1 species
ACUGCCUGAUGGAGGGGGAUAACUACUGGAAACGGUAGCUAAUACCGCAUAACGUCGCAAGACCAAAGAGGGGGACCUUCGGGCCUCUUGCCAUCAGAUGUGCCCAGAUGGGAUUAGCUAGUAGGUGGGGUAACGGCUCACUUAGGCGACGAUCCCUAGCUGGUCUGAGAGGAUGACCAGCCACACUGGAACUGAGACACGGUCCAGACUCNUACGGGAGGCAGCAGUGGGGAAUAUUGCACAAUGGGCGCAAGCCUGAUGCAGCCAUGCCGCGUGUAUGAAGAAGGCCUUCGGGUUGUAAAGUACUUUCAGCGGGGAGGAAGGGAGUAAAGUUAAUACCUUUGCUCAUUGACGUUACCCGCAGAAGAAGCACCGGCUAACUCCGUGCCAGCAGCCGCGGUAAUACGGAGGGUGCAAGCGUUAAUCGGAAUUACUGGGCGUAAAGCGCACGCAGGCGGUUUGUUAAGUCAGAUGUGAAAUCCCCGGGCUCAACCUGGGAACUGCAUCUGAUACUGGCAAGCUUGAGUCUCGUAGAGGGGGGUAGAAUUCCAGGUGUAGCGGUGAGAUGCGUAGAGAUCUGGAG